rnacentral:tRNA from 2 species
GCCUACUUAGCUCAGUUGGUAGAGCAUCCGUCUCAUACGCGGAUCGUCACUAGUUCAAGUCUAGUAGUAGGCA